CGGCGGACGGGUGAGUAACACGUGGGUAACCUACCUAUAAGACUGGGACAACUUCGGGAAACCGGAGCUAAUACCGGAUAAGAUAUCGAACCGCAUGGUUCGAUAGUGAAAGAUGGUUUUGCUAUCACUUAUAGAUGGACCCGCGCCGUAUUAGCUAGUUGGUGAGGUAACGGCUCACCAAGGCAACGAUACGUAGCCGACCUGAGAGGGUGAUCGGCCACACUGGAACUGAGACACGGUCCAGACUCCUACGGGCAGCAGGU
rnacentral:rRNA from 1 species